rnacentral:rRNA from 1 species
CUUAAAGAAUUUGGCGGAUUAUANNNNNNNNNUAGAGGAAUCUGUUAUGUAAUCSAUAAUCCGCGUUGAACCUUACUUAUAUAAAUUUCUUGUAUACCGCUGUUUAUUGAAUAUACUUUUAGGUAAAGAUUUUCUUAAUAAAGAAGUAAUUAGAAUUUCAAGUCAAGGUGCAGUAAUAUAUAAGAUAAAUAAUGGAUUACAAUAAAUUUUAUUUAUUAUGGAUAAUUUAUGUCAUAUUAAUUUGAAAGUGGAUUUAAGYGUAAUUUUUUAAAGAUUAUUUAAAUGAUUAAUAGCUCUAUAAUAUGCACACAYCGCCC